GGCUUGGUGGUCUAGUGGUACGAUACUCGCUUUGGGCUUCUUCUUCCAUGAGACAAACCAGCGAGUGGUCCCGGGUUCGAUCCCCGGUCAAGCCC